rnacentral:lncRNA from 1 species
GGAGACAUCAAUGACCCAUCAGCCCAGCCCUGAGGAAAGGGAAGGCUCUGGUUCUUUGCAGUUGCCACACCUAGUGCUGGGCACGGACCAGGUGGGCUUUGGGACACCCUGUGCCUUCUUCCCUUCAGCCCGGCAGGAACAUUUAGGCCAUCCCUGCCAGGGAUCUGUUGGAGGCCUGCUUCAUGCAACAUACUUCACUGGGUACUGUCAGGAGGGUGAGGAAGCACAAGAUUUGAGCUUGAAAGCUGCUUGGAGAGUGAAUACAUGUAUAUUUGAAAACAACAACAACAACAACAAAACCCGACAGUCCCACCUCAAAGCAACGCCCAGUGCAGAGAGGAUGAAUCAUACGGACGAGAUGCUGCAGAUGUCUGCAGGAUGGGGAGCAAUUAUACAAGCAGCUGCAACUGCAGACCUCUUGCCCGUCCUUCACUCGCCUGUGUGGAGCUGAACUAGCCGCCCUUCCGCUGAGAGCAGGUGGUGCUCGUGCACGACUCGUGAUUCCCUUGAUGCGUCACAUCACUUGUCACUGACUCAGCGUGUCCAAGUGCCUCCCGUAAGCUUGCUUGGAGCACGCCUGAAACACGCUUGUGAUUGGAAUCCAGUCCUGCUGAGUCUAAGUAGGAGGGAGGACGAAGGUACAGGGCGCUGAGCCCGCACAGGGAGACUGAAGCAGCCGAAGAUUGCUGCAAACAGAUCCAGCAAGAAGGGAGUGCAGCUCUGUAAAACAGGCACACGUAAGGGCAGUUACGCAUCAGCUUCAGGUGCGCCCUUUAAACAGCUGUAAGUCUUCCUAACCUCGCCAAUGGGGGGGGGCGAGAAUCAGGCGGGGAGGCAGGCCGUAUGUGCUAUGUACACAGUGCAUUGAAAUUGAGUGUCGUGGGCGCCUGGGUGGCUCAGUGGGUUAAGCCGCUGCCUUCGGCUCGGGUCAUGGUCUCAGGGUCCUGGGAUCGAGUCCCGCAUCGGGCUCUCCGCUCAGCGGGGAGCCUGCUUCCUCCUCUCUCUCUCUCUGCCUGCCUCUCUGCCUACUUGUGAUCUCUCUCUGUCAAAUAAAUAAAUAAAAUCUUUAAAAAAAAAAAAAAAAGAAAUUGAGUGUCGUGCGCACAGGACCCCAUUCCUUUCCAUUCUGCCUGAUAUGCUCCUUCAGGGUAAAGGUAUAAAACACAUUUAAGGUUCUUUACCUCCUUCCCUGCAAUAGUAAUUGGCAGUUACUCAAUCCCCGUGGGCAUCAUAAAUAAGGAGCACACCAAGAGACUUGGUUGCUGCCGUUAGAACACACUGGCUUUAGCUGGAUUGAACUAGAGUCAAUAGUCGUGUGACGAAUGUAACGGUGUGCCAGUGGUAAAAUCGCCCCCACUCAGUGCUCUAAUUUUGUCACAAAGGCUGGAUUUUCUCCUGGCUAAGCAAAUGGAGUUUGUGUAUUGACAUGUUUGCACUCAAAGGAGUGAGUCACAAGAUAGGUUGUCUAUGUCAGGGCACCCUGAAUAGGUGCUACACUUAAUUCUGGAGUCUCAUUAGUAAUGGCAAUAGAGACUGUGAUGUAUUGCCUCCUAUGUGGUAAAUAGAAGAAGCAGACCGGCCUGUGAGUGUUUGCUGCUCUCUUGAUAAGGAAUGGAAUUUAUACUGACAGUACGUGGUUACUUGGGUUUCAUUCUAUUGUGGCAAAAAGCACAUGACAUAAAAUUUACCAUCUUAACCACUGAUAAGUGUGCAGUAGUGUAACUAUGUGCACAUUGUGAAAAUGAUCUCCAGAACUUUUCCAUCUUGCAAAACUGAAGCUCUGUCCCAUGAAACACUCACUUUCCAUCCCCUCCCCGACCCCUGGCACCCUCUCUUCUUACUCUCUGUCUCUGUGAAUUAGUAACUCCAGGGACCUCAUGUGAGUGGAAUCACAGAGUAUCUGUCCUUCUGUGUCUGGCUUAUGUCAAUGAGCAUGUGUAACAGGUGUCAGUGUUUCCUUCCUUUUUAAGACUGAAU